rnacentral:rRNA from 1 species
CCUACGGGUGGCUGCAGUGGGGAAUAUUGCACAAUGGGGGCAACCCUGAUGCAGCGAUGCCGCGUGAGUGAAGAAGUAAUUCUUUAUUUAACACUCUAUCAGCAGGGAAGAAAAUGACGUUACCUGAGUAAGAAUCCCCGGCUAACUACGUGCCAGCAGCCGCGGUAAUACGUAGGGGGCAAGCGUAAUCCGGAUUUACUGGGUGUAAAGGGAGCGUAGACGGCAGUGCAAGUCUGGAGUGAAAGGCGGGGGCUCAACCCCCGGACUGCCCUGGAAACUGUACGGCUAGAGUGCAGGAGAGGUAAGUGGAAUUCCUAGUGUAGCGGUGAAAUGCGUAGAGAUUAGGAAGAACACCAGUGGCGAAGGCGGCUUACUGGACUGCAACUGACGUUGAGGCUCGAAAGCGUGGGGAGCAAACAGGAUUAGAUACCCGGGUAGUC